AGUGGGGAAUUUUGGACAAUGGGCGCAAGCCUGAUCCAGCCAUUCCGCGUGAGUGAAGAAGGCCUUCGGGUUGUAAAGCUCUUUCGGCAGGAACGAAACGGUGUGGGUUAAUACCCUGCAUCACUGACGGUACCUGAAGAAGAAGCACCGGCUAACUACGUGCCAGCAGCCGCGGUAAUACGGAGGGUGCGAGCGUUAUCCGGAUUCAUUGGGUUUAAAGGGUGCGCAGGCGGGUUAUUAAGUCAGGGGUGAAAUUCCACGGCUCAACUGUGGGUCUGCCUUUGAUACUGAUAGUCUUGAGUUUAGUUGAGGUGGGCGGAAUGUAGCAUGUAGCGGUGAAAUGCAUAGAUAUGCUACAGAACACCGAUAGCGAAGGCAGCUCACCAAGCUAUAACUGACGCUCAUGCACGAAAGCGUGGGGAUCAAACAGGAUUAGAUACCCCGG
rnacentral:rRNA from 1 species